CAGAAUGACUGACUGUCCGGAGCAGACAGACGGCGGGACUCGAACCGGCGCACCAAGAGACGGGGCACCCUCUGCGGGCGGGAACCUUAAAAAGGGCCGAGCCACCCGGUG